CGGAGGAUCCAAGCGUUAUCCGGAAUCAUUGGGUUUAAAGGGUCCGUAGGCGGGUUUAUAAGUCAGUGGUGAAAGCCCAUCGCUCAACGAUGGAACGGCCAUUGAUACUGUAGAUCUUGAAUUAUUAGGAAGUAACUGGAAUAUGUAGUGUAGCGGUGAAAUGCUUAGAGAUUACAUGGAAUACCAAUUGCGAAGGCAGGUUACUACUAAUGGAUUGACGCUGAUGGACGAAAGCGUGGGUAGCGAACAGGAUUAGAUACCCUGGUAGUCCACGCCGUAAACGAUGGAUACUAGCUGUUCGGAGCAAUCUGAGUGGCUAAGCGAAAGUGAUAAGUAUCCCACCUGGGGAGUACGUUCGCAAGAAUG
rnacentral:rRNA from 1 species